rnacentral:rRNA from 1 species
UACAGAGGUCCCAAGCGUUGUUCGGAUUCACUGGGCGUAAAGGGUGCGUAGGUGGCGAGGUAAGUCGGAUGUGAAAGCUCGGAGCUCAACUCCGAAAUGGCAUUGGAAACUACCUUGCUCGAGGGUUGGAGGGGGACUGGAAUGCUUGGUGUAGCAGUGAAAUGCGUAGAUAUCAAGCGGAACACCAGUGGCGAAGGCGAGUCCCUGGAACAACUCCUGACACUGAGGCACGAAAGCUAGGGGAGCAAACAGG